CAUAUUUCGUGUUUGAACUGAAUGGAGAGACUAGAUGAUCCCGGUGGUAGAAUUUAAGAUUUUUCUUCGUAGAUCUUCAUUUUAAUUCAGAGGGGAGAACGUUAAAAUUGUAUCUGAAGACUGAGAGCAAAGAUAUUUUGAAAAAAUAUCCCAGACCACGAAAUCAUCAUUUCCUACAUUAGUUAGUAUCAUUUACAAUGACAAGUUCAAAACAUCGAGUUUUUUGCACAUUGGAAAAACAGGUUAAUAAGAUUCAUCAGAGAGUUAAGUAAAUAUAUCCUUUGAUUCCAAGAAAUCUGCUUUGCAAAUAAUAAUUUGUAUUAAGAACAGAACAGAAUAGAAAUUGGGACUUUGAAACAAAAAGGAA